rnacentral:rRNA from 1 species
ACAGCCUUGUGGGUGUGUUUUGUGGAAGGUGAGGAGCUGAUACCUUCUUGCUUUGCAUAUUUGUGCUCUUGGGAUACUUGCCCGUGCGACUGGUUAACAUCAAUUUCGGCGGUCAUAAAAUGACUGGAGGAAUGUAGCUUCGAUCUCGUAUUGAAGUAUUAUAGCCUUCGGUAGAUGUGAUGAUCAAGAUUGAGGAUUGCAACGGAUACCCUUCGGGGCUACCUGUCUGGUCUCUGAUCGUUGCUCUGGUGCCGAAAGCUUGCUUACGGUUAUCAAAGUCGAUGGUCAAUAGGUUAGAACGGGUUAAAUUCGUUAAGGAUGUUGACGUAAUGGCUUU